rnacentral:rRNA from 1 species
AACGCGACUUGGGCUUCGGCCUAAGUUGAGUGGCGAACGGGUGAGUAACACGUGGGUGACCUACCUUCGAGUGGGGGAUAACGUCCCGAAAGGGACGCUAAUACCGCAUAACAUCCUGCCUUUGAACAGGUGGAGAUCAAAGCCGGGGAUCGCAAGACCUGGCGCUUGACGAGGGGCCCGCGCCUGAUUAGCUAGUUGGUGGGGUAAUGGCCUACCAAGGCGACGAUCAGUAUCCGGCCUGAGAGGGCGGACGGACACACUGGGACUGAGACACGGCCCAGACUCCUACGGGAGGCAGCAGUGGGGAAUUGUUCGCAAUGGGCGCAAGCCUGACGACGCAACGCCGCGUGGAGGAUGAAGGUCUUCGGAUUGUAAACUCCUGUUGCUCGGGACGAAAAGCUUCGACCUAACACGUCGAAGUCUGACGGUACCGAGUGAGGAAGCCCCGGCUAACUCUGUGCCAGCAGCCGCGGUAAUACAGAGGGGGCAAGCGUUGUUCGGAAUUACUGGGCGUAAAGGGCGCGUAGGCGGCCUGCUAAGUCGAACGUGAAAUCCCUGGGCUCAACCCAGGAACUGCGUCCGAUACUGGUUGGCUUGAAUCCGGGAGAGGGAUGUGGAAUUCCAGGUGUAGCGGUGAAAUGCGUAGAUAUCUGGAGGAACACCGGUGGCGAAGGCGACAUCCUGGACCGGCAUUGACGCUGAGGCGCGAAAGCCAGGGGAGCAAACGGGAUUANAUACCCCCGGUAGUCCUGGCCCUAAACGAUGAA